AGCUUUGUGCAGUCGUAGAAUCAUAGCCAAGGAGGUUUAUCCGAGGCACAAUUGCUAAUUGAAAAAAUAAACAAAAAACUAGAUCUAUACAUUUGAACAUAUACAGUGAGAAAACAAGUUUUGGAACUGUAUGUAUCA
rnacentral:snRNA from 1 species